CCAUCCCUGGGCUGGUGGCCUUGGGUUCUAUAAGAAAGCAGGCUGAGCAAACCAGGAAAGGCAAGCCAGUGAGCAGCGCCCUCCGGUGGCCUCUGCUUCUGCUCCUGCCUCCAGGUCCCUGCCCCGCUGAGUUCCCGCCCUGACCUCCUUUGAUGAUGAGCAGUGAGUGCUGUGGAAGAGUGAGCUGAAUUAACCCUUUCCUCCCCAAGUGACCCUUAGUUUAGUGGGGUGCUGCUGUGAUGGCACUGACAGUGUCUUGGGGAGGGCUGUGUGUGGAAGGACAGCCGGUGGGUGCUGAGAGCUCACAGGCUGCUCCGUGGCCCGGGACGGGGAGGAGAGUGUUGAGAACAGUACAGCCGAUGGAAACCUGCGUGGCUUGAAAGAAAGUGGCCCCCAAAGGGAGUGACGCUCUCAGGAGGUGUGGCCUUGUCGGAGGAAGUCUGUCACUCUGGCAGUGGGCUUUGAGGUCUCUUUUGCUCAAGCUUCCCUCAGUGUGACACUCAGAUCACGUCCUGUUGCCUGCAAGGCGUAAGACUCUGUUCCUUUUGCAGCACCAUGUCUGCCUGCAUGCCUCUAUGUCUCACCUGGAUACAGAGAUGAUAAUAUGUAUCAGUCCUAAAUGAUAAUGGAUGGGACCUCUGAAGCCCUAUGUGAACCACCACAGUUAAAUGCUUUCCUUUGUAAGAGUUGCCGUGGUCACAGCAUUGGAAACCCUAACUAAGACCUUACGAAGUUUCAGAGAGAAGUUUAAAGACCACUCUUUUGAGUUGAGAUUCUGUGGUGUCUGAUUGGCUGGGACUGACGAAUCAGCUAUGAUUAACAAGAGACUAGAAUCACUAAAAUAAAACCUUUGCUUUUCUGGGACAAUGGAUGCGGGUCAGCCAGAGAUAAGAAAUUUUGGUGAUUAAGAAGAGACCAGCAUCACUGAGGUGAAGUCUCCUGGGAAGUGCGUCCCCAGGGCCAACACACAGAAGCUGGGGUCCAGAGGCAGCUGAACUCGAUAGUGCAAGAGUCACCCAGUGGUGCUGGCUUUGAAGGCCUGAAGGGGUCAUGGAGAGCAGCUGAGGCUUGGCACUGUGUGGCAGGGCUGCAGUCCCUGAAGAGAGCCCAGGAGAGGGCAGUGGUGAAAAUGCAGCCCAGCUGCAGCAGAGACCCCAGCACUUUGGAGAUGCCAGUGCCAUGGGGUGGCCACCAGGAACAGCAGCAGUGGAGUGGAGCAGAGCCAGCCUGAGCCUGGAAGACAAGCUGUGUGUGCUGCAGAGGGCAGAGCCGGAGAAGUGACCCAAGCCCUUUGGAGGAGCCCAGAAGUUGAUGAGAAGCACGGGGGACUACUGCAGUUCGGCCCAGGACCACAAGCUGAUCAGAGGGAAAUGACAAGGCUCAGAGGGACAAAGCUGCCAGCCAGCUGGUGACAGAACACAAGCCCAGGCUCUGGGAUCCAAGAGAGGUGUUCGCAAGCAUGCCUGGUUUAUGAGCUGCCGGGGAUUGAACCCACAGCUUCAUGCGUGCCAGGCAGAUACUCUUCCAGUUGAGCCACCAGCCCCUGGGUGCUGCAUGCUAGGCAGCAGAGGUCCCCCAUGCAAACAGUCCCGCCCACGGUGGUUCACAUGGAGCUUGCAGUGUGUGCUGGAGGAUAUGGACCAAGCACAAGUCCGGGGUCUGGGGGAGUCUGCGUGAGCGGUGGAGGAGGAGAGCAGGGUCACAGCCUCAGAAAGUUCUCUGGUGGAAAGAGGGAUGGGAAGGUUAGGGCAAUGGGUAUUGAAGUCACAAACAUUGGCGGGGAUACCAGGGGGAACACACAGAGCUGCUAAAGGGGCCUCUCAGCUUUAGGGUUCCGAUUGUCUGCCCUGCCCAGAGAGGGAAUGAAUAUAUUGGCUUUUAGCACUUCUCCUGCCAGGGGCUGUUUGGCAAACAAACCCUGCGUGUAAUUUUAAAAAAAGCCACCUGGCAGAAUUUUUCACAGUCUAGAGGCUGGCCCUCGUCCCUCCAGGUACCAGUGGCUCCCUUCUUGUUGGCUUCUAGCAGUAGCCAUGGCCCCCUGGUCUUCCCACGCAGCACAAUGCCCGCACGGCGUCUUGGGACUCUUUUCACAGGACACAGUCCCUGGGUUAGAACACACCCCAAACCUUAUCUAACCUGAGUACAUCAACAGAGACUUGAGUUUUCUCAUAAAACCACACCAUAGGGCCCUGGGGGCCGGACCCUUCCAGUCCUUUUGGAGGGACACAGUUCCUUCUCGCCCUCCCGGCAGGGAAGUUUCCAGAUUGUUGGCACCUUCAGCACUCAGAGGAGCCAGGGAUCAAGCACUGCUGGAGAAACCCAAGUUCAGGUACUUCUCCUUGUGACCUCAGACUGUUUUACCCAGAGCAGCAGCUGGAGUCCAUGUGGCACUGGGGCAGGGCAGGUCUCCUGGGCAUGCCUCUCCCUGGGGCUGCACUCGAGAUGAAGCGUGCUGAUAUCAGCACACGCCUGCCACCUUCCUUCCCAGCAGAUCUCAACCGUCAGUGACUGUCACUCCUAGCUCUCGUCCCAGAUUUUAUUGGCAGUUUCGUUGUCACCCCCAAAAUCUUUUUCUCUCAGUUGGCAUUUUCAUCAGGCGAGGCUGGGUGGGAGAAGGAGGCAGAGCUGGCUUUUGGGAACCAACGGUGUCAGUGCCCCUGGCCUGGGGUCAGCAGAGGAAGAGGACCCCAGAUGGCAUCCCUUUACCCAGGAGCAAAGGAGAACAAAAGGCAGGGAGUGGGGUAUGCCCUGUGGUGCUCCAGACUCCACAGAUUUCCAAGCCCUCAGCCCUCCCAGUUGAUAUGUAGGAGGCAAGGUGAUGGGGUGAGCACGUGGGCCAUGGCAUCAGACCCACCCAGGGGUAUUUCUCAGCUUGGAGCAGCACUUGAGGGCAUAUCUGUCUGCUGUGGUGCCUCAACAUACCCAUCUACCAAGUGGGAGCAACCGGUACUUCCAUUGGCUGAGGCCAUAUCUAGGCCAAGCAUUGUCAUCCUGUUCAGGCCACCCGAACCCGAGAAGGCUGGUACCAUCACCAUCAGUAUCUUAGUGGUGGGGACCAGCAUACUGGUCAGGUGACCAGAGAAGAGGCAACAACUGGAUUUGAACUUGGGCCGUGAAAUUCCUGGUCAUAAGCCUGUGCUGUAGGGUCCAUAGGAAGAGCGAAGGUAAGAAGGUGUCAGCACACGGAGAAAAUCGAGCUGCUGUGCCGAGUAGCACGGACCAGGCUCCGUGGUGGCCACUUGAUGCUGAGGAGCGCCCUUAGGGGUUGAGUCUAUCUUCGAAGUGGGACCCCACAGUGUCCAGCAGGACUAGGUCACUACAAGGGGCUGCAGCUGUACAAUCAGAAAACAAAGACCCAAAGCUGCUUCUUGUUCAGGACCACCAGGCAGCCGCGGGUGCCCAGUGCUUGAGUUCUGCAGUGGCUGCUUACCGAGUCGAGUUUCAUGAUGUGUACAGUGGAGGAAUCAGAAAUUCCACUUAGGGGGUCAAGAGGUCCCCUGGCAUGGGGAGAAAGUCGUAAUUCAGUAUCUAGAAAAUUUCUUACAGAGCUCAGACUCCGAACCCCUCUUGUGGUGCGGAUGAGGAACCUGAGGCCCUGGGAUGAGAAGAAAGGAGAAACUCCUGCCCCAGCUUCUGGACUCCUGGCCCAGCAUCAUCCUCCGAGGCCUCUGCCACCUCCUCACCCUCCUCCCCGCACCUCUGACCCCUGUGACUUCGGGAGCCUGAGCCCCAGGCCUGCCGCGAGGAGUGCCAUUCUCCCUCUCCCUGGCACACUGAAGGUUUUGAAAGUUAAAGUGUUACCGUCGGCUUUGUUGUUGCCUAACUACGACAGACAAAUUGAGAACGAGUUGUCAAAAUGUCAACGCACAACAAAUCAACAUGCGAAACGAGUCCCGGCGCUCCGCGGUGUAUAAUUAAACAAAAAAUCCCUUUUAGAAAUUUCAGUGAACGCCGGUUCCACUUUAUAUUUGUCUGUGUGAUUAAUAAAGGCAGCUAAUUUUCAGACUCCAGAACAGCUAGAAAAUAGCUCCUAAUUACAUAUUAGGUUCCUGGCGGCCCCCGCUGUGCUCCGCCGGCAUUGGUGGGCCCAAGAAUUUGGCAGAGCCUUAAUUGCAUUCUGAGCGUCAUCUAAUUUUAGUUAAAUGUAAUG